rnacentral:rRNA from 1 species
GCCAAACUUCUAGCCCCCAUUCCACCCUAUAAAGACUAACUAAUUUGUAACUAAUCACAAAGCAUUUUUUUAAUCUAGUAAAGGCGAUAGAAAAAUUUUUCAGAGCUAUAAAAAUAGUACCGUAAGGGAAUGAUUAAAUAAAAAUGAAAUAACUCUUAAGCACCAAAAAGUAAAGCUCACCCCUUGUACCUUUUGCAUCAUGGUUUAACUAGUCCCCUUUAGGCAAAAAGACUUUUAGUCUAACCCCCCGAACCUAGGCGAGCUACUCUAAGACAGCUUUUAGAGCCAACCCAUCUCUGUUGCAAAAGAGUGGGAAGAUCUUACAGUAGUGGUGACAGACCAAACGAGCCUAAUGAUAGCUGGUUGCUUUUCAAAAGGAUUUUAGUCCAACUCAAAGUUAUUCUUAUAUCAUAAAAUUAAACUUUAAAGUUAUUCAAAUAAGGUUCAGCCUAUUUGAAUAAGGAUACAACCUCUACUACUGGGUUACUACUUAUAAUAAUAAUAAAGUAGGCCUAAAAGCAGCCACCUUAAUAAAAAGCGUCACAGCUCACUUAAAGAACUUAUAUAAUUCCUAAAACCUCUCCCAACCCUUUAUUACCAAAAAGCAACUCUAUAUUUUUAUAGAAGAUUUUAUGUUAAAACUAGUAACAAGAAGCAGCCCUUCUCUUAAAUGUACCUUUAUAUCAACGCGAACCCCCAUUGAUAAUUAACGUCUAUAAAAUCAUAGUAAAAACCUUCUAAGAAAACCUUACUACUUUUUACGUUAACCUAACACAAGAACAUUUAAAGAAAGAUUAAAAAAUAAAGAAGGAACUCGGCAAACAUUAGCUUCGCCUGUUUACCAAAAACAUCGCCUCUUGACUAACCAUAAGAGGUCAAGCCUGCCCAGUGACAUUGUUCAACGGCCGCGGUAUCCUAACCGUGCGAAGGUAGCGUAAUCACUUGUUCUUUAAAUGAGGACUAGUAUGAAUGGCUUCACGAAAGCUAUGCUGUCUCCUUUAUUCAAUCAGUAAAACUAAUCUCCCCGUGAAGAAGCGGGGAUACACCUAUAAGACGAGAAGACCCUAUGGAGCUUUAAACAUCUUAAAACAUUUGAGUACACUAUUAAACUUCUGCAAAUUUCAUCAAGCCCCUCAUUCUGCUUUAAGUUUUAGGUUGGGGUGACCACGGAGAACAGCCUACCCUCCACGUAGAAAGAACCUUUUUUCUAAGCAAAAAGCUACAUCUUUAUGCAUCAACACAUUGACCUAAAUUGACCCAAUUACUUGAUCAACGAACCAAGUUACCCUAGGGAUAACAGCGCAAUCCGCCUUAAGAGCUCUUAUCGACAGGCGGGCUUACGACCUCGAUGUUGGAUCAGGGUAUCCUAGUGGUGCAGCAGCUACUAACGGUUCGUUUGUUCAACGAUUAAAACCCUACGUGAUCUGAGUUCAGACCGGAGUAAUCCAGGUCAGUUUCUAUCUAUAAAGAGUUUUCUCUAGUACGAAAGGACCGAAAAAACAUGGCCCAUGCCUUUUAAUGUACGCCAUCCUUUCCAAAUUUAUGUAACAAACUUAAAAACCAAAAGCCCUGAUAUCAACUUUUAAACCAAAAUUUUA